GUAGGUUGUUUGCAAAACUUUCCUUUUAAAAUUAUUCCUCUUAAAAAUUACCCUGGCAACUCCUGGUCAUCAGUUCUGGCAUCCGUCUUGUUCUCCAAGAUUCCUCUAAGACCAAGGAUUACAAAUUCAGCCAUCUUAAUUGCAAAUCCUCUCUGCAGAGCUAAAGGCCAUGGUGGAACUCUCAGAAGCUGGCAGGAAACAUCCCUUGCCUCAGACAGGAUCAUCCUAAUUAAUAAUAAUCACAAUAAUAUUGUGCUUUGCAUUUUAUCCAGGGACACCUGAACAGCCGAAUGCUUUAUGAACACUAUUUAAUUAAGCCUUAUGACAAUCCCGUGAGGAGAACCUGGAAACUGAAAGAUUGGUUUAAUCUCUGCAUAGGUAAGGAGACCUGUUAGGAGGAGCAGGACAACAAUGUAGGAGGAGAUAGGGUGGGAGGUUAAAUAGAGAGAGGGAUUGAUGGCAGAUGUGCACUGAAACCUUUCUAACCAGCCACCAGCCACCAGCCACCAGCCACACACCUAGAGGAAAUUCUCAUAUCUGAGUCUUUCUGAAAUGUUCUGGUGGAAUUUUAUGUCUGUCCCUCCGAAAUAAUAGCCAUGCUCUAUGUGAUUCAUGCUUCUAGAUGUGACUUUAAAUUUACUAAAGAAAAUUCUGAUUAAACAAUGUUUGUAUUUCCUCUCACUGUCUUGCUAUACCUUCUCUCUCUCUCUCUCUCUCUUUGGUCACCUCUCUGGGGCUCAUAUUUGUCAGCCACAAGAAUGAGAUGCAAUUAAGUAAAGCAAAUGAUCACAUUCAUUGUCAAUGCCAAGCCCACCUGGUUCCAUCCUAUCAAAGUGGUCAGAGACUCAAGGUCUAGCUGGAGAAAGCUAUUCCAGAUUCAUCCAGGGCAAUUCCACUCUUGCCCAAGAGGCUGUCCUAUCAGAUCAUAGAGCCAUCAAGCAAAGCCUCACAUGCAUAGGGCCAGAUGGAAGCGCAUCCCAGACUGGAAGGCCUGAUAGGAAUUUGAAAAAAAGAAAAAAAUUUAGAUGCACAAUCUCCCUCAUUAUAUAACUUCACAUGGAGUUAAAUUCAAAUCAAAAAGCAUAAAAGUUAUUUCCUAUUCAUAUUGGUUUCUUCCUCAAUAUGCCAAUUUCAUUAAUUGGAAGGAUGAGGGAACUCUAUUCAGAACUCUAUGGAGGGGAUGAGGGAACUCUAUCCAAUGAUCAUGUGUGAGGUGAGUGUUAUGUAUAAUGUCUACCAUUACUGAGCUUUGGAUUUUCACUGAAUCACUGCAUCAAAGAAACUCUUUUUUAACACAUUUUUACUGUAUAAAGCAUGAAUAUACUAUUGUGCAUAUUUUAUGUUUCCCUAAGGCUUAGCAUUGAACCAUAUCUCACAGAAUCUCCAUUUGGGGGCAGGUAGAGAAUUGGGAGGGGGAAGGGGUUCCCACAAAGCCUCGUCUCUCCCUCCCUCUCCAGUUCUCUCAGUAUCUCCACUUCUUCAUCUGUAGCAUCAAAAUCACUUUCUUAGAAACCAUUCGUAAUCUUGCAAAAAAUGAAUUGCGAGAUUGGGUUGGGAAUAAACAGCUGAGCAGAUGAAAUCUUAAAAAAUAA
rnacentral:lncRNA from 12 species